rnacentral:rRNA from 1 species
UAAAAGUCGUAACAAGGUUUCCGUAGGUGAACCUGCGGAAGGAUCAUUAAAGAGUAAGGGUGCUCAGCGCCCGACCUCCAACCCUUUGUUGUUAAAACUACCUUGUUGCUUUGGCGGGACCGCUCGGUCUCGAGCCGCUGGGGAUUCGUCCCAGGCGAGCGCCCGCCAGAGUUAAACCAAACUCUUGUUAUUUAACCGGUCGUCUGAGUUAAAAUUUUGAAUAAAUCAAAACUUUCAACAACGGAUCUCUUGGUUCUCGCAUCGAUGAAGAACGCAGCGAAAUGCGAUAAGUAAUGUGAAUUGCAGAAUUCAGUGAAUCAUCGAAUCUUUGAACGCACAUUGCGCCCCUUGGUAUUCCGAGGGGCAUGCCUGUUCGAGCGUCAUUACACCACUCAAGCUAUGCUUGGUAUUGGGUGCCGUCCUUAGUUGGGCGCGCCUUAAAGACCUCGGCGAGGCCUCACCGGCUUUAGGCGUAGUAGAAUUUAUUCGAACGUCUGUCAAAGGAGAGGACUUCUGCCGACUGAAACCUUUAUUUUUCUAGGUUGACCUCGGAUCAGGUAGGGAUACCCGCUGAACUUAAGCAUAUCAAUA